rnacentral:rRNA from 1 species
UACGGGGGGGGCAAGCGUUGUUCGGAAUUACUGGGCGUAAAGGGUUCGUAGGUGGCCAACUAAGUCAGACGUGAAAUCCCUCAGCUUAACUGGGGAACUGCGUCUGAUACUGGUUGGCUUGAGUGCAGGAGAGGAACGCGGAAUUCCAGGUGUAGCGGUGAAAUGCGUAGAUAUCUGGAGGAACACCGGUGGCGAAGGCGGCAUCCUGGACCAAUUCUGACGCUGAGGAGCGAAAGCCAGGGGAGCAAACGGG